CUUGGGAGAAUGAUUCUUAUUUUAAUAAUAAUAUAUAUUAUUAUUAAACUUAAGUAUUCAUGAAAUUUGAAUAUAAUUCUAGGUAAAAAUUUGAUAAUGACAAAGUUUUAUCUAUUUGUCUUGACCAAAUCUUGUGCCAGCAGUCGCGGCAACACAAGGAAGACAAGUGUUAUUCAUCUUAAAUCGGUUUAAGGGGUACCUAGACGGUAAAUUAGGCCAUAGUAGGAACGUUUUUACUAGAGUUAUACAUGCAUGGGGAUUGUGUCAGUAUUACCAGAGUAGAGAUGAAAUUUUUUGAUACUGUUAAGACUGGUAAAGGCGAAAGCAAACCUUUAUAUAUUAACUGACGUUGAGGGACGAAGGCUUGGGGAGCAAACAGGAUUAGAUACCCUAAUAGUCCAGGCAGAGAAUUA
rnacentral:rRNA from 1 species